UACGUAGGGGCGAGCGUUAUCCGGAUUUACUGGGCGUAAAGCGCGUUAAGGCGGUCGGCAAAGUUGGUUGUGAAAUCUCAGGGCUCAACCCUGAAAUUGCGACCAAUACUGGUCGACUAGAGUGUGAGAGAGGAAGGUGGAAUUCCCGGUGUAGUAGUGAAAUGCGUAGAUAUCGGGAGGAACACCAAUGGCGAAGGCGGCCUUACUGGCUCAUAACGUGACGACUGUAGCUGGCGAAAGCGAU
rnacentral:rRNA from 1 species